rnacentral:rRNA from 1 species
GUGGCGGACGGGUGAGUAAUGUCUGGGAAACUGCCCGAUGGAGGGGGAGUAACUACUGGAAACGGUAGCUAAUACCGCAUAACGUCGCAAGACCAAAGAGGGGGACCUUCGGGCCUCUUGCCAUCGGAUGUGCCCAGAUGGGAUUAGCUAGUAGGUGGGGUAACGGCUCACCUAGGCGACGAUCCCUAGCUGGUCUGAGAGGAUGACCAGCCACACUGGAACUGAGACACGGUCCAGACUCCUACGGGAGGCAGCAUG